AUAUUUUGUACUUUUAGUUUAUUAAAACUCUUUAGUGACUCCAGUUUUUACAUAAAUAGAUUCAGAGUUGGUAUUUAGUAGGAGUUAAAAUACUUCUUUUCAUUAACAAAACAUCUUUUUUUUUUUUAACCUGUUUUCCAUGAAAAUCUCUGAAAUUGAAAUCAUUAUUGUCUUAUCUUCCAAAGCUCAGAAGCUUUUUUCCAGAAAUCAUAUUCUAUGUUAAUAGUCAUUAAGUAAGCUACAGUACACACUGCCCCUGCUUUUUGCUUCAUGUAGACUAAAAUAUUUUUCUUGCUAAGUUACCAACACUUUUUCGUUUCACAAAUAGAAAAGGAGAAGCUGAUUAUCUCCCUUUCCAUUGUGGAAAACUUGCCAUAGGCAAUUUGUUUCCCACACUUUAUAAAUUUCUAAUCUUCUAUAAGGAAUAUGGUUAUGUUUUCCUACCUCACUUGAGCCCUCUGGAUCAGUUAAUCCAUCCAGGGGUUGGUGCUUGAGCCCAAUGAAACAGAAGUGUGUCUAGUUUCUCACAACUCAGUAGAAAGAUUGCUUCUAGAAUGCUCAGUUUUCUAAAUUAUCAGGAUCAGACCUACUUGAUUUUUUUCUUAAGUGUCCAGUCUUACCAUGAGCAUUGCAGGUGGCAUUUUGAUAAUAAAUUUUGGUAAAAUGUAUAUGUGUAGAGAUACGUAUGAGGUUGUACUUUGAAGUUGCACUGAGUUAGAAUGGAUAGUGGGAAGUGGUAUAAAGUUACUAGGCAAGAAGAGGAUUUAAUUUUUGUGCAUUUCCACUCAGGGUAACAGGAAGGAUACUGAAUAAAACUUCAGAUCCUUCUUUUAUCUGGCAUAAGCUCAGCCAAACAGGGAAGAAAGUUACUUGCUGUCAUGGCAACCUCAUACUACAAUUAGUGCUUCUGUUCAGAAAUAGCAGAUUGGUGCUCCAUCCUCUGAGCCAUUCAGGUUUUGAGCCAGUAGCCACACUACACAGCAGCAGGGCAUUCUGAAAGCUUGCCUUCUAUGCCUAAGUGAGGAAAAUGAGUGUGGCACUGCAUUUCAGAGAUCCUAGCUUCUACAAAUUGUAAUUAUUUUUUUUUUAGCUUAUACAUUCCUCACUUUACUGCUCCUUUUGGAUUGUCAGUUAUAUUUUGUUCUUGAAAUUUUCUUCCAAAGCAGCCUUCCCCUUGCUCUAUUAUUUCCUUUGUUUCAUCAAAUUUUCAUCUUUCCUUCUUCCAAAAAUAGAAACACCAGUCUGAGACCUCACUAAGCACAACUAUACACUCUCUAUUUACUUCCGAUGUAUUUUCAUACAUCUUUCUGCAGAAACUACCUACUUUCUCCUAACUCCCAUUUUUGUACUCUAAUUCUGUGGAUCAAAGUAACAGCACUAAGACACCUUUUUCUCUUCAGAACUGUUGGCAUUAACUUUAAUAUACUUGGCUCUUUGUUGAAUGAACUACAAUCUUUGACUUGAAAAACACAACUCCUGUAACAUAUAACAACUAGCAGAACUUGUUAGACUUCAUCUUCUCAUAGUAUCACAUUAUACAAGUGUUCUAUUAUUUGGCAAAACUAACUUUAGUUCUCUGCCGUACAGUAAUAUUGUAUUGAUUCAUAAUUCAGCAUCACAAAAACUGCAAGUUGAUAAGAUCUGAAUAGUCUUAUUUUUAGCACAGCUAUAUCUCACUGCUGUCAUUUCACUCUUCCUUACGUUUUCCCAUCUCCUCAGUUGUGAGUUUCCACUUCCCUUCUGGAUCUUGAACCAUUUCUUCAUGGUGAUUGUGCAGGAAACCAUAUUUCUUUUUCUGGAUUAGCAUUCUGCUCGGUUAAUGUGCUAGGUCAGUCAACAAAGAAGUCUGGCAGCG
ensembl:lncRNA